rnacentral:rRNA from 1 species
CUGCUCAAUGAUUUUUUAAAUUGCUGUGGUAUUUUGACUAUACAAAGGUAUUGUAAUAAGAUUUUAAUUGAAUGCUAAAAGAAUGGAAAUUUAAAAAAAAACUUUUUUAAAAAUAAAAAUUGAAUUUUUUUUAAUUUGUGCAAAAACAAUUAUAUUUAUUAAAGACAAGAAGACCCUAAGAAUUUAAGAUUUUACAAUUAAAAAGUUUUUUUUUUAAAAUCUUGAUUGGGGCGAUCAAAAAAUAUUAAUAACUUUUUAAAAUUUAAAUUGAUCUAUUAUUAAUAAACUAAUGAAUUAAAUACUCUAGGGAUAACAGCGUAAUAAUUUUUGAUAGAUCUUAUUAACAAAAUAGUUUGCGACCUCGAUGUUGGAUUAGGAUUCUUUUUUAAUGAAGAAGUAAUAAUACUGCACCCAAGUGCC